rnacentral:rRNA from 1 species
UCUGAAUCUGCGUACGGCUCCGCACACCAGUUGUAAACCAAAGCAAGCAAGCCCGGUCUCGACGCCUUUCGGGGCUAGGGGCCGGGCUACAAGGAUAACCCUGGUAAUUCUGAGGCUAAUACUUGACACGGAACCUGUCGACUGGGUCUCGGCCCGGGAAACAGGGGAUGUGCGACUAUCGGGCCAACAGAACCGGAAAGAGCGCACGUUCAGACCACUUAAAAAGGCCACGGGGUCCUUCGGGAUCUCGGGGCUGUGGCUCUUGCAGCGUGCUUCUGACCUAUCAACUAGACGGCAGCCUAAAGGACAUGCUUUGGU